AUCAGGGUCACACAGCUGGUUGGAUUCAGGGGUUGACAACGUGUAGGGAGGCCUGAGGCUCAGGCUGACCCGGGCGCAAAGGGUAUGCAGAGGAGAGCUGACACACCCAGGAUGAAUAUGAAGUAACCAGCUCUAUUUCCUAGUGUUUCUCGGGCAGGCGGAAUCUUUCUAAAGAUUUUCAAGCACCCAGGCCUGCUAGGAGCACUGAGGACUAUGGAGCAGGCGUGCUGUGUUUACGAUGUCAUCAGGAGCUGCUGGGCAGUUGUGAGCAGUUUCCUGUGUGGUGCUUAACGUCUCUCUUGUCUGAAGGUCUUGCUCUGUCACCCAGGCUGGAGUGCCGUGGAGUCAUCACAGCUCACUGCAGCUUCAAACUCCAAGUGAACCUCCUGCCUCAGACUUCCGAGCAGCUGAGACUACAAGUGGCAGCAGCACUCCCGACUAGGUUUGAACUUUGUGUAGCGCCUGUUGCCCAGGUUCCUCUUGAGCUCCUUGGCCUCCCACAGUGCUGGGAUCGCAGCGUGAGCCCAUGUGCUCCGCGAUGGAGCGGCUUCAAAGUCCAGCUCCACAGCCACAGCACUGUGGCCUGACAGUGUGCUGAGGACAGACGUGUCACUGAGUUGUGGUCAGCGUGCAACAUUAAUUUUUGCUACAAAUUGGGGAAAUGUACUUUUGUGGCAAUGAGUGCCAGGAUGUGAAGAUGAGCAGGUGCUGCAGAUGGGGAAGAGCAGAUGCAAAGGGCAAGAGUGAAGAGGCAACUAAGCGCGAAGCCAGCACCAAGGACAGACGGCCCAAAAGGACAGCGUGUUCCCACCC